CAUUAUACAGCGAAACUGCGAAUGGCUCAUUAAAUCAGUUAUCGUUUAUUUGAUAGUACCUUACUACUUGGAUAACCGUGGUAAUUCUAGAGCUAAUACAUGCUAAAAACCCCGACUCACGAAGGGGUGUAUUUAUUAGAUUAAAAACCAAUGCCCUUCGGGGCUCUUUGGUGAUUCAUAAUAACUUUUCGAAUCGCAUGGCCUUGCGCCGGCGAUGGUUCAUUCAAAUUUCUGCCCUAUCAACUUUCGAUGGCAGGGUCUUGGCCUGCCAUGGUUACAACGGGUAACGGAGGGUUAGGGCUCGACCCCGGAGAAGGAGCCUGAGAAACGGCUACUACAUCCAAGGAAGGCAGCAGGCGCGCAAAUUACCCAAUCCCGAUUCGGGGAGGUAGUGACAAUAAAUACUGAUACAGGGCUCUUUUGGGUCUUGUAAUUGGAAUGAGUACAAUUUAAAUCCCUUAACGAGGAACAAUUGGAGGGCAAGUCUGGUGCCAGCAGCCGCGGUAAUUCCAGCUCCAAUAGCGUAUAUUAAAGUUGUUGCAGUUAAAAAGCUCGUAGUUGAACCUUGGGCCUGGCUGGCCGGUCCGCCUCACCGCGUGCACUGGUUCGGCCGGGCCUUUCCCUCUGGGGAACCUCAUGGUCUUCACUGAUCGUGAUGGGGAACCAGGACUUUUACUGUGAAAAAAUUAGAGUGUUCAAAGCAGGCCUAUGCUCGAAUACAUUAGCAUGGAAUAAUAAAAUAGGACGUGUGGUUCUAUUUUGUUGGUUUCUAGGACCGCCGUAAUGAUUAAUAGGGACAGUCGGGGGCAUCAGUAUUCAAUUGUCAGAGGUGAAAUUCUUGGAUUUAUUGAAGACUAACUACUGCGAAAGCAUUUGCCAAGGAUGUUUUCAUUAAUCAGGAACGAAAGUUAGGGGAUCGAAGACGAUCAGAUACCGUCGUAGUCUUAACCAUAAACUAUGCCGACUAGGGAUCGGACGGUGUUACUUAUUGACCCGUUCGGCACCUUACGAGAAAUCAAAGUCU
rnacentral:rRNA from 1 species